rnacentral:rRNA from 1 species
ACGGAAGGCAGCAGUGAGGAAUAUUGGUCAAUGGGCGGAAGCCUGAACCAGCCAAGUCGCGUGAAGGAUGAAGGUAUUAUGUAUUGUAAACUUCUUUAGCCAGGGAGCACUGGUGGUCUCGUGAGGACUUAUGAGAGUACCUGGAGAAUAAGGAUCGGCUAAUUCCGUGCCAGCAGCCGCGGUAAUACGGAGGAUCCGAGCGUUAUCCGGAUUUAUUGGGUUUAAAGGGUGCGCAGGCGGCCUGUCAAGUCAGUGGUAAAAUCGUGGGGCUCAACCCCAUCCUGCCAUUGAUACUGUCGGGCUUGAUUGCGGUUGAGGUUGGCGGAAUUCGUUGUGUAGCGGUGAAGUGCAUAGAUAUGACGAAGAACUCCGAUUGCGUAGGCAGCUGACCAAGCCGUAAAUGACGCUCAUGCACGAAAGUGCGGGGAUCGAACAGGAUUAGAUACCCUGGUA